rnacentral:rRNA from 1 species
UACGGGGGGUGCGAGCGUUGUCCGGAAUUACUGGGCGUAAAGAGCUCGUAGGUGGUUUGUCGCGUUGUUCGUGAAAACUCACAGCUCAACUGUGGGCGUGCGGGCGAUACGGGCAGACUGGAGUACUGCAGGGGAGACUGGAAUUCCUGGUGUAGCGGUGGAAUGCGCAGAUAUCAGGAGGAACACCGGUGGCGAAGGCGGGUCUCUGGGCAGUAACUGACGCUGAGGAGCGAAAGCGUGGGGAGCGAACAGG